rnacentral:lncRNA from 1 species
AUCCAGUCUCUUAUUUAAUUUAAUUACAAUAGUAAAGUCUGAAAGAGGGCGUAUGAUUGGGCAUUUACCAAAUCAACAUGUCUUUUUUAUCACUAUUUUUCUAUAAUAUAUUCAUCAUCACUAUAUAUUAUGAAUAAGUUAUAAGGUCUAAAGAAGACUGGCACUAUUUACAGUAACCCUGUUUUAUUACUAUUUUACUACUUAUUUUCACUUUCCACCACCAUCAAAGGUUGAGUGACAAAUGAAAAAAUGUUCCGCUUAAUAAGAGAGUGAUUCUCAUUACAGGAGUCUCCUCUAUUGGUAGAAUGAGAAGGUUGAGGUCCAAUGCUGGCUCAGAAGAGGAAGGAUGUGUACUUAUAACGCUUUUUAACUUAAUAAAAAUGUGAAAAUAAACUCUAACUUAACAAGAUGGAGUAUGUGUUGAAAAUUAUUUAUGUAUGGGAACCGUGGGAGAAAGUCUUGAAUUAUUAAAAAUAAUAAUAAACAAAUUUAAUAAUUUACUGUAGUAAUCACUAUUUAAUAUCUUUUUUAAACAUAUGUAGUUAAAUGAAAAUAUAACUUAUUGAGGAAGCC